UACAGAGGUCUCAAGCGUUGUUCGGAUUCACUGGGCGUAAAGCGCACGUAGGCGGGUUCUUAAGUCAGGGGUGAAAUCCUGGAGCUCAACUCCAGAACUGCCUUUGAUACUGGGAAUCUCGAGUCCGGGAGAGGUGAGUGGAACUGCGAGUGUAGAGGUGAAAUUCGUAGAUAUUCGCAAGAACACCAGUGGCGAAGGCGGCUCACUGGCCCGGUACUGACGCUGAGGUGCGAAAGCGUGGGGAGCAAACAGG
rnacentral:rRNA from 1 species